rnacentral:rRNA from 1 species
GAUGAACGCUGGCGGCGUGCCUAAUACAUGCAAGUCGAGCGAACAGACGAGGAGCUUGCUCCUCUGACGUUAGCGGCGGACGGGUGGGUAACACGUGGAUAACCUACCUAUAAGACUGGGAUAACUUCGGGAAACCGGAGCUAAUACCGGAUAAUAUAUUGAACCGCAUGGUUCAAUAGUGAAAGACGGUUUUGCUGUCACUUAUAGAUGGAUCCGCGCCGCAUUAGCUAGUUGGUAAGGUAACGGCUUACCAAGGCAACGAUGCGUAGCCGACCUGAGAGAGGGAUCGGCCACACUGGAACGGAGACACGGUCCAGACUCCUACGGGAGGCAGCAGUAGGGAAUCUUCCGCAAUGGGCGAAAGCCUGACGGAGCAACGCCGCGUGAGUGAUGAAGGUCUUCGGAUCGUAAAACUCUGUUAUUAGGGAAGAACAAAUGUGUAAGUAACUAUGCACGUCUUGACGGUACCUAAUCAGAAAGCCACGGCUAACUACGUG